AGUGAACGCUGGCGGUAGGCCUAACACAUGCAAGUCGAACGGCAGCACAGUAAGAGCUUGCUCUUACGGGUGGCGAGUGGCGGACGGGUGAGGAAUACAUCGAAAUCUACUUUUUCGUGGGGGAUAACGUAGGGAAACUUACGCUAAUACCGCAUACGACCUACGGGUGAAAGCAGGGGAUCUUCGGACCUUGCGCGAUUGAAUGAGCCGAUGUCGGAUUAGCUAGUUGGCGGGGUAAAGGCCCACCAAGGCGACGAUCCGUAGCUGGUCUGAGAGGAUGAUCAGCCGCACUGGAACUGAGACACGGUCCAGACUCCUACGGGAGGCAGCAGUGGGGAAUAUUGGACAAUGGGCGCAAGCCUGAUCCAGCCAUACCGCGUGGGUGAAGAAGGCCUUCGGGUUGUAAAGCCCUUUUGUUGGGAAAGAAAGGCAGCAGGUUAAUACCCCGCUGUUCUGACGGUACCCAAAGAAUAAGCACCGGCUAACUUCGUG
rnacentral:rRNA from 1 species